rnacentral:rRNA from 1 species
UACGGAGGGUGCGAGCGUUGUUCGGAAUCACUGGGCGUAAAGCGCGUGUAGGCGGCCCAUUAAGUCUGAUGUGAAAGCCCGGGGCUCACCCCCGGAAGUGCAUUGGAAACUGAUGGACUCGAGUCCCGGAGAGAAGAGUGGAAUUCCUGGUGUAGCGGUGAAAUGCGUAGAUAUCAGGAGGAACACCGGUGGCGAAGGCGGCUCUCUGGACGGUGACUGACGCUGAGACGCGAAAGCAUGGGGAGCAAACAGG